GUGCGACUGGUGCCCUCCACUUAAGUGGCUCGAUACUGGGAUCCUUGCCGAUAAGGGUAAGCCCGUCAAAGACACCUGUGCGGCCACGGGGUCCUCGCCAACCCAUGCAUUGAAACUUUUAGGGGGAUGGAUUGUUCUUUUCUGGCACAUAGAGUUGGUUGGGACGUCGAGGCUUUGGACAUUUAUGAGUAGGCA